GAUGAACGCUAGCGGCAGGCCUAAUACAUGCAAGUCGGACGGGAUUCAGGAGCUUGCUUCAGAUGAGAGUGGCGCACGGGUGCGUAACACGUAUGUAACCUACCUUUAUCAGGGGGAUAGCCUCUCGAAAGAGAGAUUAAGCCCGCAUAAAAUCACAGCACAGCAUUGUGUAAUGAUCAAAUAUUUAUAGGAUAAAGAUGGGCAUGCGGAACAUUAGCUAGAUGGCGGGGUAACGGCCCACCAUGGCGACGAUGUUUAGGGGAUCUGAGAGGAUGGCCCCCCACACUGGUACUGAGACACGGACCAGACUCCUACGGGAGGCAGCAGUAAGGAAUAUUGGUCAAUGGGCGGAAGCCUGAACCAGCCAUGCCGCGUGCAGGAAGACGGCCCUACGGGUUGUAAACUGCUUUUAUACGGGAAUAAACCCAGAUACGUGUAUCUGGCUGAAUGUACUGUAAGAAUAAGGAUCGGCUAACUCCGUG
rnacentral:rRNA from 1 species